GGAGAUGUGGCUCGGUUGGUAGAGUGCCUACCUAGCAUGCAUGUAGCCUUGGGUUCAAUCCCCAGCACCUCAG
rnacentral:tRNA from 1 species